GACUCACGACACACUCCCUCCACAUUCAGAUUUUUCCUCUCCUCUCCCCACACACACACACUCGGUCUCUCCUCCACCAAAACAGCAGCCCACACUUCCAUUUUCUUCUUUUCUCCUCCCUUGCUCUCUCAUCUCUUCUCAUCUUCAUGGUAGAAGCUUGGCUUGGCAUGGGUAUGGGCUGGAUUUCGUGGAGAAGGCAAAGAACAAGGGUUUGAUGGGCUGAAAUCUUAGGCAUGUAAGGUGGAGACUUUAAUCGUGUCCCAACAGCGAGUUCAAGGUAACUAGAACGUGGGGGAUAUUCGAGUCAAGAGUCCAAUGCAGCCAGGGAUACAUGCGCAUGCUCUUAUACUUGUGAAGGACCUAUCCAUGCUGCUCUUUUUUCUUCCAUUCAGCUUGAUGUUUUUUCCUUCUUCUUGUCUGUAAAACUAUUUGACUUACAUUACUCUGUUUCCUGGGUCCUUCUGAGACCGUUAGGGGGAGUAAUUUCUAUUACAGUUGGUUUUUAUUACUCUGUUUUACCCUUUGUCCAUUUGUGACAAAAAUGGGGAGUAAUCUUUAUUCUUUGGACUGGGAAUGUAUUUCCAAACCAGUCAAGUGAUUUUUGUCCCAGAAUGGCCAAAGGGGGAGUUUGUUAGUAUUUUGGCCUCAUUCUGUGUUUGGACAAAAUCACUUGUGUAAAGAUGCUGUAAACAGGGAUUCCACUUGUCAGAGCAUCUUCAGAAGACUCUGUACUGCGAAAAAGAUAGAAGAUUUCAGAUUCCCUAUCAGCUGUCCGAACGCCAUCUGUCCAUUGCUCCAUCCGUCCGGAUGGCGUGUCAUUCCGUCCAGAUGCCAGACAGACCAGCAUCAUCCGUCCGGAUGACGUAUCUUUCCGUCCGGACCCUCUACUGUAUCGAGAAGCUUCUGUUCCAGCUUGCAUCCGUCCGGACCUCUCAGCAUCCAGUCUAGACGUUCAUCAGUGAUCGAUCAGCUUCAGAUUCUUUCCAAGUUCAAAUAUGGGAAGAUUGAUACACCGUC